rnacentral:rRNA from 1 species
GACGAACGCUGGCGGCGUGCCUAAUACAUGCAAGUAGAACGCUGAAGAGAGGAGCUUGCUCUUCUUGGAUGAGUUGCGAACGGGUGGGUAACGCGUAGGUAACCUGCCUUGUAGCGGGGGAUAACUAUUGGAAACGAUAGCUAAUACCGCAUAACAAUGGAUGACACAUGUCAUUUAUUUGAAAGGGGCAAUUGCUCCACUACAAGAUGGACCUGCGUUGUAUUAGCUAGUAGGUGAGGUAAUGGCUCACCUAGGCGACGAUACAUAGCCGACCUGAGAGGGUGAUCGGCCACACUGGGACUGAGACACGGCCCAGACUCCUACGGGAGGCAGCAGUAGGGAAUCUUCGGCAAUGGGGGCAACCCUGACCGAGCAACGCCGCGUGAGUGAAGAAGGUUUUCGGAUCGUAAAGCUCUGUUGUAAGUCAAGAACGGGUGUGAGAGUGGAAAGUUCACACUGUGACGGUAGCUUACCAGAAAGGGACGGCUAACUACGUG